AUCACCCUCUUUAUAGCAACCAUGGCUUUCUGUUUCUUGGCGAGAAUUAUGUUGGCAACCCUGAUAAUCGUCAUCUUCAGCCUGCAGUUGCAGCUGGUUUCAACUCAUGCAGCCGGAGUUGCAGGUGAAAAGAGGAGCAUACUGUUAUCUCCUCCAGAUCACGGAUUUGACGGACGGGACAUUAUUCGCAUUCCUCACACUCCUAAAGGGCUGAGCGUUCGGUCGGUUCGGUCCAGAACCGGACCGAACCGAAUGGACCGAGGACCGAAUUUCUGAAAUUUUCUGGACCGGACCGGACCGAAAUUUGCAUAUGGACCGAACCGGGACCGAACCGAAAUAAUUCGGUCGGUUCGGUCCGGACCGCCAGAACCGAAAUUUUGUAUUAAUUUAAGGGAAGCACAAGUGCACAACUCGAUGCCUUAUCGGCUGGUCUACUGGCUGAAGAAGACAAGUUAGGAGCUAUAUACUUUGAUGAAGUAUUUUGCUGGCAAUUUCUUGUGGAAACAAAGGUAGUAUAAGUUUUGCUUCACUUCCAUGCCGAUCAUAUUAGUUCAGUAAUUUUCAAUGCAGCAGAGGUGCUAUGCUGCGUGUGCGCGGCGCUCGGAGAGAGUGGGAUAGCAGAUUAGGUAAUAGAUAUAAUAGAUUAGGUAUUGUAUAGACUAUAGACUAUAGUCAUAUAGAAUAUGUUAAGUAAUAUAUAAAAUAUAUAUAUAUAAACUUCGGUCCAUUCGGUCCAGGACCGAAGAUUUUCGCUGAGGACCGGACCGGACCGUAUUUUAUUUCGGUCCGGACCGAAAUACCCGAACAGACCGAAAUUUUUGAAAAUUAGGACCGAACCGGAUCGAAAUUAUUCGGUUCGGUUCGGUUUUUCGGUUUCGGUCCGGUUUUGCUCAGCCCUAAUAACGAUCGUUUGUAUUCAAAGGCAGCAUCACGACGCCAAGCACUUCAAGAUCCAAAGCCGCCGCUCCAUUCUCCUCCACCUCCGGUUGGAAGCCGUCCUGUUUACCCACCUUGACAUGAGUCAGGAUCGCUGUGGAAAUAAGUAUAAUUAUGAGUGACAGACAUGCUAGCUGGAGCCUAUUUGUCUUGCCUGGGUUUAAAGCUCAGUUUUUAAGCUAUUUUUGAUUAAACUUGAGAAUGUAUGUUUGUAUAAUAUGAUUUAAAAUUUUAAAUAAAUUUGAAAUUGACUUAAAAUCAAAAAUUAGUUUGAGUUA